GCGAACGGUGUCCCCAGUGCGCGUUCAAAGCCCGGUGCGCUACAUACCAGCCCCCCGCAAGUGCCAUGCGAGUGCAGGCAUCGAGCCAGGGCGGAUGGUGCCAGCUCAGCGCGUCUGGUCUCCAGUGCGCCUCCUCGGUCCAGGUUAUCCUGCGCCGGCUUUGCGCACUGUGUCUCCAGAGCGCUGGGAGGGUCCAGUUCGCCCAAUGCCUGCUCUCCGCCUGUGCCGGGCCAAAGUGGGCAUUCAGCCUGGAGUGUGGGUAAAGAGUGUCCGUACCAGAACUCCAGUGCUCCCCCACAGCCCGGUUUAUCCUGUGCCUCCUCCUCGGACCAGGCCUCCAGUGGGUCUCCCCAUCCUGGUCCAUCCUGUGCCACCUCCCAGGACCAGGCCUCCAGUGGGUCUCCCCAUCCUGGUCCAUCCUGUGCCACCUCCCAGGACCAGGCCUCCAGUGGGUCUCCCCAUCCUGGUCCAUCCUGUGCCACCUCCCAGGACCAGGCCUCCAGUGGGUCUCCCCAUCCUGGUCCAUCCUGUGCCACCUCCCAGGACUAGGCCUCCAGUGGGUCUCCCCAUCCUGGUCCGUCCUGUGCCACCUCCCAGGACUAGGCCUCCAGUGGGUCUCACCUGUCCAGAGCAGUCAGAGCUGCCCGCCAGUCAACAGUCGUCAGAGCUUCCCGCCAGUCAACAGUCGUCAGAGCUUCCCGCCAGUCAACAGUCGUCAGAGCUUCCCGCCAGUCAACAGUCGUCAGAGCUUCCCGCCAGUCAACAGUCGUCAGAGCUUCCCGCCAGUCAACAGUCGUCAGAGCUUCCCGCCAGUCAACAGUCGUCAGAGCUUCCCGCCAGUCAACAGUCGUCAGAGCUGCCCGCCAGUCAACAGUCGCCAGAGAGGCCAGACUGCGCUGAACUGCCGGAGUGGCCAGACUGCGCUGAACUGCCGGAGUGGCCAGACUGCGCUGAACUGCCGGAGUGGCCAGACUGCGCUGAACUGCCGGAGUGGCCAGGGACGCCCGCCAGCCCGGUGAGUCCUGUGCCUACGCCUAGGGCCAGGCCUCUGUCAUGUCUCCCCAGCCUGGUGAAUCCUGG
rnacentral:lncRNA from 1 species